GAAGUGCGAUAAGCAAUGCGAAUUGCAGAACCGUGAGUCAUCAGAUUUUUGAACGCAACUGGCGCUGGCUGGGUCUCCAGCCAGCAUGCUUGUUUCAGUGUCUUGUUUUCUCCUCACCCAAAACUUAAUGCGAGAGAUACCCUUCUCUUGCCAAGCAUGAAAGCACUCUUCUUCUGCGAGCGACUUUUGACUAGCUCAAGGGUCGCACUCAAUGCAGACGUCACAUUUCUCACAAUGUGAACUCAUUGAGAGUAGAAGCAGUCAGCUCACGCUGUCAGUGCUUAGUCACUUAAACUUUCUUCGCAUCUGAAAUCAAGCAGGAUCACCCGCUGAACUUAAGC
rnacentral:misc_RNA from 1 species